CCGCGAAGGAACUUCCCCUGUCUUGGUGGUUAGACGCCAACGUCCAGUCCUCACCACCCCGCCCCCUCCAUCUGCACCACCGGCAGGCGUGAGCUCCCUGCAGAGGAAUCUUCUGGGAUGGGGUGCACCUUGCCAACAGAAUUGUUGAAAAGUAUUUCCUCCCACAGUGGGGAAAGAUUUGCCAAGUUUCUGCCUGGAACAAUUUGUUAUGGCCAUGUAAUAAUCCUGGAAAGUUUGGAUUUUUAAUGGAAAUACUGACAAUAGACUUUCAACACUGCUGUUAUAAGGAGGAUGGAAUCUUAUAUAUGUUAUUUUAAAAUCUGAGCAAGCCAUAGGCUACCAUAUACACUUUCCUUAGAUUGUGUUCCCAAAUACACCUAUGGCGAAAUAAACCUAUGGAGAAAUAAA